rnacentral:rRNA from 1 species
AUGAACGCUAGCGACAGGCUUAACACAUGCAAGUCGAGGGGCAGCGGGGGUAGCAAUACCCGCCGGCGACCGGCGCACGGGUGAGUAACGCGUAUGCAACUUGCCUAUCAGAGGGGGAUAACCCGGCGAAAGUCGGACUAAUACCGCAUGAAGCAGGGGCCCCGCAUGGGGAUAUUUGCUAAAGAUUCAUCGCUGAUAGAUAGGCAUGCGUUCCAUUAGGCAGUUGGCGGGGUAACGGCCCACCAAACCGACGAUGGAUAGGGGUUCUGAGAGGAAGGUCCCCCACAUUGGUACUGAGACACGGACCAAACUCCUACGGGAGGCAGCAGUGAGGAAUAUUGGUCAAUGGCCGAGAGGCUGAACCAGCCAAGUCGCGUGAGGGAUGAAGGUUCUAUGGAUCGUAAACCUCUUUUAUAAGGGAAUAAAGUGCGGGACGUGUCCCGUUUUGUAUGUACCUUAUGAAUAAGGAUCGGCUAACUCCGUGCCAGCAGCCGCGGUAAUACGGAGGAUCCGAGCGUUAUCCGGAUUUAUUGGGUUUAAAGGGUGCGUAGGCGGCCUUUUAAGUCAGCGGUGAAAGUCUGUGGCUCAACCAUAGAAUUGCCGUUGAAACUGGGGGGCUUGAGUAUGUUUGAGGCAGGCGGAAUGCGUGGUGUAGCGGUGAAAUGCAUAGAUAUCACGCAGAACCCCGAUUGCGAAGGCAGCCUGCCAAGCCAUUACUGACGCUGAUGCACGAAAGCGUGGGGAUCAAACAGGAUUAGAUACCCUGGUAGUCCACGCAGUAAACGAUGAUCACUAGCUGUUUGCGAUACACUGUAAGCGGCACAGCGAAAGCGUUAAGUGAUCCACCUGGGGAGUACGCCGGCAACGGUGAAACUCAAAGGAAUUGACGGGGGCCCGCACAAGCGGAGGAACAUGUGGUUUAAUUCGAUGAUACGCGAGGAACCUUACCCGGGUUUGAACGCAUUCGGACCGAGGUGGAAACACCUUUUCUAGCAAUAGCCGUUUGCGAGGUGCUGCAUGGUUGUCGUCAGCUCGUGCCGUGAGGUGUCGGCUUAAGUGCCAUAACGAGCGCAACCCUUGCCACUAGUUACUAACAGGUAAAGCUGAGGACUCUGGUGGGACUGCCAGCGUAAGCUGCGAGGAAGGCGGGGAUGACGUCAAAUCAGCACGGCCCUUACAUCCGGGGCGACACACGUGUUACAAUGGCGUGGACAAAGGGAGGCCACCUGGCGACAGGGAGCGAAUCCCCAAACCACGUCUCAGUUCGGAUCGGAGUCUGCAACCCGACUCCGUGAAGCUGGAUUCGCUAGUAAUCGCGCAUCAGCCAUGGCGCGGUGAAUACGUUCCCGGGCCUUGUACACGCCGCCCGUCAAGCCAUGGGAGCCGGGGGUACCUGAAGUCCGUAACCGAAAGGAUCGGCCUAGGGUAAAACUGGUGACUGGGGCU